rnacentral:rRNA from 1 species
AGAGUUUGAUCCUGGCUCAGAUUGAACGCUGGCGGCAUGCCUUACACAUGCAAGUCGAACGGCAGCACGGGAGCAAUCCUGGUGGCGAGUGGCGAACGGGUGAGUAAUAUAUCGGAACGUGCCCAGUAGUGGGGGAUAGCC